CAGUGUCCUGAGUUGUUUUAGCCUCUGCAAGGGAUGCUGGGGAGCCUGAAGUGAAACCCCCAGACACUGGGGUCAGACGGGCCUAUGGUCAAAAACACUUUGUAGUACAUGACCUUGCGUAUUGGUUUGCUGGGCAUGCUAUAGCAACAUACCGCAGAUGGGCGGCUUGAACAAAAGAAAUUAAUUUUCUUACAGUUCUGGAGGCUGGAAAUCCAAGACUGAGAUGUCAGCCAGGAUGGUUUCUAUUGAGGUCUGUCUUGGCUUGUAGAUGGCCACCUUCUUACUGUGUCCUUAUAUGGUCUUUCCUUUGUGUAUCUGUAUCCUGAUCUCUUCUUUAGGGACACUAGUCAUAUUGGAUCAGGGCCCACCCUAAUGACCUCAUUUCAACGUACUCACCUCUUUCCAGGCCCUAUCUCCAAACAACCCGCAUUUCCUCAAAAAUGCGGACUUCAACAUGUCUUUUGGGGGAACAAAGACUUUUGGGGAACAAAGUCUUUGGAGGAACACAGGUCAGCCCAUGAUGCCUUGCCCAGCUCACUCCAAACAUGCUGAGCCUCAGUGUCUUCGUCGAUGAAAUGGGGUGGAUCAGAGGGGGCCAUGAACCUCCUGGUACCUCUUCACCCCUUUGCUCACCAGUUUGGUUAUUCCCUCCAGGCUAAACCAUCUGCUAAGGCCACACUGGACCUUGAAAAGAUACUAAUUGUGAGGGUGAUGGCAACUGCGACACCAGCAAUGGCUGUCUCCUCACUCUGUUCCCCACUGAUCCCAGCAUUCCUCAAGGGGCCUCAGCCAUCCAGAUGGUGCCAGGCACAAAUCAACCUACAGGUGCAGACCUGCUCAGAUUAGAUGGAUUGACAGGUGAGGGGGCCAGGGUAGGAACGGCAUGAGAACAGAGUAUGUAUGUGUGUGUGUGUGAGUCGGGGCGGGGGGAGGUCAUCAAACACUAUGUGGCAUGAUUGCAAUUAGGGAAAAUAUGUUUGAGAAUGUGCUUGUUCUCAUCUGAGGAUAUUACAUAUUGGACGGUCAAUAUGUGAAAUAGAAUCUGGAGAGAAACGCACCCAACAGUCACCAGGGGCUGUCCUGGUUGAGGGAGGAAUGGGGAUGAUCAGGUGGUGGCUUGCAAACAUUUUUGAUCCCUCAGGAGAAAUACGCUUCAUUUCAACCGCCUGGUACACACACAUACACAUGCUUACACAUACACUCCCACAUACACAUAUGCACACACACUCACUCACACGAUAGGUAUAACUGAAGCCAAAGUUGCAGAAACUCCAGCUACCCUAGGUGAAAUGUACGCUGCUAUUCUUACUGUGUUUAUUUUAUUUCAUUCUUCCAAAUGCUUGAC
ensembl:lincRNA